UCUCCGGCCACCAAACCGGCGUCGAAGGUUCGGUUUUUGACAUAGAUCAUUUCCCCUAAGGUCUUUCAUUUCAAUUUGCAGUGUAGAGGUCGAAUUAACAAUUUCAAUUUCUAGGGUUCUUGGAAUUUCUGGAAAUUUUUCACCGGCCAAAUUGGAGCUCUUCCAGGGCAAUGUUGCGAGCUACGGCUAGAUGAAGGAACUCGUUUGCGUGGUCGCCCAAUAGUACUUUUGCAGGCGCUAUUAGUUGAGGUCGGGCGUACAUGGUUCGAGGCAUAGUUGACGAAUAGCUUCCGCACUUCUUUGUUUGGCUAUGAUCUAUUGUGG